GGAAUUUCCAGGAGAUCUUUGAGCAGCACAAGGCUUGGAAGCUAGAAUGCCAAGAAAGAGUCAGCUGUUUAGAAGCAAGAAAAUCUGUGCCCCUUAAUUGUGGAAACACAAGUUCAAACCCCAGCCCUUCUGCUUGCCAGGAAGCUCUCAGACUUCAGAUCUCAGACUCAGUUGGCAUCUCUUUCUUUUGUGUGCCAUGUGUGGAAAGAUGACAGCACCCUUUCUUGUCCUUAUUACUGUUGCUGACAAUGUGUUCUCAGGACUUCUCUGCUGAAAGGAAGACUAAAUGAGUGAGUGGAGAGAGCUGGUGCUCUUACAGAUCUGACUUCUUUUCCAGGUGAAGAGAAAAGAAUUUCCAAGUGAGGCCAAUUAAAGUUGCCCAGAUGAAGCAAAGUCCCCAGGGAUCAAUCAGAAUGCCUACAUAGAUGAGAAAUGACUUUCUGACCUGUCUUUAAAGUCAGCACUCCAAUCAGUCUCCACUGACAUACAGAGAAUGGUGACAUAUUGACUUUUACAAGAGAUGAAUCAAAAGGUGACACAACAUGAAUAGAUGGAAGCUUAGCCCUGAAUUUUCCAUAUAAAUGCA